rnacentral:rRNA from 1 species
AGCGAACGCUGGCGGCGUGCUUAACACAUGCAAGCCGAGUGCGCGGUUCGUAGCAAUACGAACUGGCGCACGGCGCACGGGUGAGGAACACGUGGGCAACAUGCCCUCCGAUGGGGAAUAACCCGCCGAAAGGCGGGCUAAUACCGCAUACGAUUCCGGGGACCUCGGUUCCUGGACUGAAAGCCCGCAAGGGCGUCGGUGGAGUGGCCCGCGGCCGAUUAGCUUGUUGGCGGGGAACGGCCCACCAAGGCAAUGAUCGGUAGCCGGUCUGAGAGGAUGAUCGGCCACACUGGAACUGAGACACGGUCCAGACUCCUACGGGAGCAGCAGUGGGGAAUCUUGCGCAAUGGGCGAAAGCCUGACGCAGCGACGCCGCGUGGGGAUGAAGCCUUUCGGGG